UGUGGUUCGAGGUACAAUUGGAUGCAGGACAUCUUAGAUUGAAUGAACAAAUAAAUACUGAAAGAAAGGAAAAGACUUUCCUCCUUUACUCCCAAAUUCGAAAACAUAUUAUCUGAGCAGACACUGCAGCUUCAACUUAAUUUGACUGGCCACAUUCACAACAGAAAGUUGUGGGAGACGAGUGUGAUCCAGGAGUGUCUGGAGCACCACCUGCCUCACCUCACAACAGUUCUUCAUCUAGUGGGGAAAGUGAUUAUAAUGACAUUAUAGGAGGUGAUGUUGACACCAUUGAUGAAGAGGC